AAAAGGUCGCUUUCUCUCUCUCUCUCUCUCCUUCAAUAAAGGAAAGAGAACACAAGUUCUGGAAAGAAGCUCAGACUUGCCGACUACAUGAUUUCUAGAGAAGAUUUUAUUUGGAAUUUUCGUCGUUGAGUUUUUAUUUCUUCACGACCAUGGAAAAUCAACGGUCGAUUGGAAGAUGAAUGUUCUGAUGCUCUUUGUGUUCCGCAAUGCCGAUUCGGUAAAUGGGUUUUUGUUAGACUCACCAAAGGAUGUAACACUGCAGAGAAAAUGAAGAUCGGUCCAUGUUCGAUCUUGUUUCGACAUGAAUCCAACGAUUCUCUUUGGUCGAAGGGUGGGUCGGGGGUUUUCCGGACUUCACCGUGUUUUGCGGUCGAUCUGCGGUCGUAGUUUUAGCGGUUAUAACGGGGGUGGAAAUGGGAAUGAAGGUGACAGUGAAUAUCCGAAGAGAGACUCUGAAAAAUCUGAUUUUGACAGCGUUUCACAUGAAAAAUCGAUAAAGGACGAAACCCCUUUUGGGUUUUCAUCUGUUGGGAUAGAUGUCAAUGGCGAAAACUAUCCCUCAGAGAAUGUGGCAUCGAAGAACGGUCCGUCUUGUUUUGAAGAGAAUAACAGUCAUGGAAAUGGAUAUGAUGUUAAUGCGGAGUUUUCAAAGGGAAGCUCUGAACGAUUGGAUUUUAGGGGCAAUUUGCAUCAAAAGUCUGAAUUUUCGAAGAGAAUUUCCGAAAGUGAUGGUGAAUUUCCGAAGCAAGGUUUUGAAAAAUCUAAUUUUGGCAGUGUUUCACAUGAAAAAUCGAUAAAGGGCGAGACCCAUUUUGAGUUUUCAUCUAUUGGGAUAGAUGUCAAUGGCGAAAACAAUCCCCUGGAGGAUGCGGCAUUGAAGCACGGUCCUUCUGGUUUUGAAGAGAGUAACCGGAAAGGUAAUGAGUAUGAUGUUAAUGGCGAGUUUUCAAAGGCUAGCUCUGAAAGAUUGGAUUUUAGUGACAAUUUGCAUGAAAAGUGUGAAUUUUCAAAGGGAAGCUCUGAAAAAUCUGAUUUUGAUGGAGAUUUGCUUGAAAAAUCCAUAUCUGAUGGAACCUUUUUCGGGCUUUCAUAUAUGAAUACGGAUGACAAUGAUGAAAGUGAUCAGUCAGUUGAGUUCUCCCCACGCCGAAGAUUUUGGGAAGAUCUUCAAUUUGAAGCUGAUAAGGUGUUUGAUGUUUUGCAACAAGACGGGCCAGGCUUUGAUGCCCGAUUAGCCCUAGAUCAAAUGCAGCUCCUGGUAUCGAAUCGUCUUGUCAGAGAAGUUCUUAUAAGGAUUUCAAAGUCGAUAAACCAUUCAAACAGAUCUCGAUGCGCAAAAUUGGGUUACAAGUUCUUCGUAUGGUCGGGUCACCAGACGAAUUACAGACAUACAUCUAACACGUACAAUAUGAUCAUGAAGAUAUUCGCAGAUUGCGAGGAAUUCAAGGCCAUGUGGAGGCUAGUUGAUGAGAUGACCGAGAGUGGAUUCCCGACCACGGCCCGCACAUUCAACAUACUGAUCUGUACUUGUGGUGAGGCGGGAAUGGCAAGGGCAUUGGUUGAAAGAUUUAUCAAAUCAAAGACGUUCAAUUACCGUCCUUUCAAGCACUCUUUCAAUGCAAUCCUCCAUUCACUCCUCACCAUAAAUCAAUACAAGCUGAUCGAAUGGGUAUACCAACAAAUGCUGCUCGAUGGGCACUCGCCGGAUACAUUGACUUACAACGUGCUCAUGUGUGCAAAAUAUCGGCUAGGUAAGUUGGAUCAGUUCCAUAGAUUGCUCGAUGAGAUGGGCAGGAGUGGAUUUGUGCCAGAUCUUCACACAUACAACAUCCUACUUCACGUGCUUGGGAAAGGGGACAAACCACUCGCUGCACUCAAUCUCUUGAAUUACAUGGAAGAAGUAGGUUGCUAUCCGAGCGUGCUCCAUUUCACAGCAUUGAUUGAUGGCCUAAGCCGAGCAGGGAACUUGGACGCGUGCAAGUACUUUUUCGAUGAGAUGGUCAAGAAAGGGUGCACACCGGAUGUGGUAUCUUACACGGUCAUGAUUACGGGGUAUGUUGCAGCAGGUGAGCUAGAGAAGGCUCAAGGGAUGUUCGACGAUAUGUUUGUUAAAGGGCAGCUGCCAAAUGUAUUUACAUACAAUUCUAUGAUCCGUGGGCUUUGUACCGCGGGGAAGUUCGAUGAGGCUUGGUCCAUGCUCAAGGACAUGCAGUCAAAGGGAUGUAGCCCGAAUUUUUUGGUGUACAGUACACUGGUGGGGAAGCUGCGAAAUGCAGGGAAGGUUUCUGAAGCGGAUGAAGUAAUAUCCCACAUGGUGGAGAAGGGGCAGUAUAUUCAUCUGUUGUCGAAGUUUAAGGGCUAUAGGAGAUGCUAAAGCAGCGGAUUUUAACUGUAUGAGUAUUCUCUGGUUGCGACCUUAUUGGAAGAUAUUGCUUGUAAUUUGUUUGAGCUUCGUCGAUCUUUCUCCUCAUUUCGAGUUGAGCUUCAGAUGGCAUGGCAGUGGAAAGACAGGUCGUUCCCACAAGCUAUACUGAUAAUUUAUGAAAAAGGUUUGCUAAGUCACAAGUGUGCAUGGGUGAUACCAUAUACACGGCAUUGCAUGUGCCAGCAUGGCAGACAGUCCCAAUGUGCAAGGAGUCCAAAAUGCGAGUCCAACUUUGAAGAUGCUCUGAAUGAAAAAUCAGGCUGAUGCACUCACUAGGUGGGCCGUGAUUUUAGAGACAGCUGGGCGUCUUACAAAUCUUCACCAAAAUUUCUUCAAUGGUACAUGUGCUGGAAAUGGCUUUCGAUGGACGUUGAAUGACUGGAAAUCCGUCCCCAGUUGGUGGUACCUGUUUUUUGUUUACAGAAAUUCCCUCUAGUUGCUGGAUAUCGUUUCUGUUCUGCUGGAAAGUUGAGAGCACAUGUUGCAAAUUUGAAUUUUAUGGCCACAACUCAUAAUUUGAGGAGAAAUCCUAUCUGGUUAUUUCGUGAACAUAGCUAUCGAAGGCAGCAAUCAGUUGGGCAGCUUACAAUGGCCGACCCUGUGCAACCUCACUGAUAGCUUCUAUUGUGUAGCCUGCAGUAAGAACAGAAGCAUUAGUAGGUUCACCAUCAGCUGCCAUUCUAAAGUCUCUCAGAUGGAAAAUUUUCAAAUAUUUGUAUAGGGGCCAAACAAGGAAAUGGUUAGAAAGAAAGAAAGAAAGAAAAAGAAUGGUGGCUAUAACUUCAUAACAUUUCUCACACCUCUACAUAGGAUUUGAGAUCAACAAUCUCGAUUUUCAAUUGGGCCAGGGAAGAAGGUUCAUUCCUAGUUGGAUCGCUGAUGUUUUCUCAGAUAUUAGCACGAGGCCCAGUGGGUUAAACAUUUUGUUUACCCUUUCAGACAUGGGUACUCAUAAUCGUUAUUUUCCGUUAGUGUCUGCUCGGGCUCUUUGCUUCCAUCUGUACUUUGGAAACGUGGUGUCCCUCUUUUUAAAUUUUAAUGCAUUAUGUUCACCUUGUGAUGCUGCUUGAGUCUACACAAGAGAUGUAUGGAGUGUAUAUCACACUAUUAUCAGGGUGGGUCAAACGGAGCGUUUGUCACAUGGUUUUCCUAGUUAGAUGCGUAGGCUAGAAGGAAGCGGGUGCAGGUGUAAUCUAUGCUCUCUUGUAUAG